ensembl:antisense Gm17094 predicted gene 17094
AUCAUAAUCCACAGAGGAGAUAGUGCAGCCUUGUCUUGCUUCUGGCCAUAAAUGGAAAGCAUUUUUCACAGAUGAAUCUGUGCCUUUUGUGUAUCCUUUUAGUAAUAUGAAGGAAGAAUAUGGCAUUGGCAGAGAGACCAGAUCUUCAAGAUCUCAGCACUCAGAAAUGAAAAUGUGUGUUAGUGUGGUAAUCCACUGGGAAAGGACUCUUCACAUGAUGCCAGACUGACAAAAAUGCAGGAAAAAUUACAUUGACCAAGUAUUAAUACCUGAAAUGCAUUUAUGAGUUUUAAGACCUGGCAUUGAGAUAUGUCAACUCUUGGUAGUACCUCAUUUGAUUUAGAAGGAGAUGAUGAGCAUCAAAAUCCUUCAUAUGGAGUUGCUUCAAUUAUGGCAAGCUAACCACAGGGCAAAGAAAAUGCUCUUACUUCAUCUACAGAGAGAAUGCUGUCCAGAAAGGACAGAAGAGAAGUCAACUGCCAAGUUCUGCCUAGAUAGAGUAAACAAGUCCUUCAUAAUUCCUGCUUCACAAAAAGUCUGUCAGAUAUUCUGGACCAGAAGGAUGAAGAUAGAUGCUUCAGAGUUCUAGAGAAUAUUGGGGACUGUUCAGCCUUGGUGAGCUUCCAUUUAGCAGAAAUUGUUCCUAGCCCACAUGUCUGGAUCAGCCCCAAGAAGCUUCUAGAAGGUGGAUAACCGGAGCCACUUUAAAAAAGUGGCACAUGUGACAAGUGGGCACAAACAAACCUCCAAACAAAAUGGUCAUACUGGAAGCCUCUUCUUUCAAGAAGGAAAACACAGCAAAUGCAGAGUCACGGGCCUUGAACAGGCAGAAUGAUUACUGACUUCUGAGAACAAAAGAAUAUGAGAAAAGACUUUGGAGGUAAAACCCACAGAGAAGAGGCAUUGGGAUGCAUAAAUGACAUCACUUAUGCCAUCUGCUUCACUUUUAAAGUAGGAAACAACACAUUAUUCUGAAAUACUGCAUACAGUCAUACAGUGAGGACAGAUGACCGUCCCAGGCACCAAAAUGGCACAGUGAGUUCUGCCACCGUGAGCAAAACUGAUCUCACCAGGUCUGGAAGGCUCAUCAUGGUUCCAUGGAUCAAAGGCACCCUGGAUGCUCUGGACCUGUGCAAUUGAUCCUGACUUCAGGCUGAUAAUAGUGAGGUACUCCAGGGUUUGAACAUACUGAAAGACCAGCACACUCCUUAAUUAUAUUAUUCUACAUAAUCAUAUUAUGUAGCAAUUUUCAUCCAGUUAAAAUAUUCUUUACUUGAGGAAGUCUUCUUAAGGAUUAGGAGGCCUUAAGUGGAAACAUUGCUUCCAGAAAUGUUGAAGAGACUUCGGAAGCAAACUCAGAAGUCUCAAGAAGCUCCUGAAUCUGACAAGGCUCCGUUCCCCCUGCUUAGAGCAACCUGUGGAUCCUGAGAGAGGAAGCGAGGCCGGGAGGCUGGAGCGAAAGAGACUGAACAAACAGCAAUUGAGCAAGGCACAAACAGACUCUUGAGGCCGGUUCAGUGAGACAGCUCCUUCAAUGGGAGGAACAAAGGCUUUGAGGGCCAUAUUCACAUCUGGGAAGCACUCUGCUAGCAGCAUGAAAGCAGUUUUUGAAUAGAGAGUUAUUAAAAGGUUGGUGACCCAGGACUGGCAAUCCUGGGGUUGUCUUGAGUGACCAUUGCACUCGAUCAAGGGUUAUGAAACACAUAUCACGUGGGAUCUCUGAUGGUGAAAAUAACAUCAUCUCUCUAGCUGAUUGUGCGAAUCACACCAUCCCUCUAACCAACUGUGCAAACCCUGUCUCUUCCCUAUUGACCGAGGAAAUCACAUCAUCUCUCUAAAAUUAGUCUUCCUUUCUGAAAAGCAAGCCUAAGCGGAGGUCCUGUUCUGAUUUUCUGACCCGGUGGGUGACUGUGUUAGGGCAGCUUGCCUGUGUUUCUUUCUUUAUCAUUCUGUCUGCACUGUCUUUUAUUACUGUGUACUGUCAGCAGCAACAAUUUCCUCAAAGUUUAAAAUAGCAAAAGUGUACAAAGGUGGAAAAAAAAAUACAAAGCUUUAUCUUGCCCUCUAAGAAGCCCCAUGGUGUGACUUUCCCAGGUACUUCAGAUCUCCUGGAGACCUGUAACGUGUCCUCGUAUCUUUACCUUCUUUGGAUGGUAGGAACUCACAUCUACAAGGCUGUAUUUCAAGAGGAGAUGACAGACAUUUGUGAGAUUUUAGUGUUUCUAGCAUUGCCCUUGUCAUUUAAUGACUCCUCCCCAAGUGUGGCACUCAGCAUGGUGGUGCUGACUUCAGCUCCAGUCAUGUUUGAUCUCUUGCCUUCAUGCUGAAUGACUAUUCCAUGUCUCCGGGGCACUGUGUUUUUCUGUUGCUAUCCUAGUUCCUUAGUGCCACCCUGGCUUUUCUCUAAAGUGCUGCCACCACCCCUGCAGUGCUCACCAAACACUGUCAACAACCUCUCUUGAGUUUACACAGCCACCCCUCUUAUCCCUGACUGCCUGCAGCAAAAAGAAAGAAAUUGCGCCUCCAUCUUCCUCCCUCCCAGCUGUCAGCACUGUGCUAAAAACAAAACCCUUCAGCUUCCUAAACAAACAAGCUUGCAGUAUUCAGAAUGUGUCCCGGUAUGUGGUCAUAUAUUUCUGUAAGGUUCUUUAAGGACACAGGUCUUUCAAAACCAUUUCAAUGUAUGCUACAUGAGAGAUGAUUAUGUUUAACCCCAAGGUAGGAAGAGUGGUCCUGCUGCUUGGCUGGCUGUAUCUUCUGAGGUGCAUAAUUGGCUGCUCUGGUUCACAGGAAUAAAUUUCAUCUUAAAAUCUGU